UAUUAUUGUAAACUUUUUAUUUAUUUUUUGCUGUAACUAUCACUGGAACUUGAUACACAAGAAAUAAAUAAAACACGCGAAAGUCUAUAUGGGAAGAUUGCAUGAUCGUAGCGGAAACAAAUAACUUUCUUCGACACUGCCGAUGCGCAUACGUUAACACUCAUAAUUAUAUCACGUAAAUUAAAAUAUAUAAUUAUAAGUAAUUACUAAAUAAGUGUUUAGAAAUAAGUAAAAUAUUAAGAAAAAAAUAAUAAAAGUGAAUUCGAUAGUGAGAGCACACAAAUGAAAUUAAUUACCCAUGCUUGACGUUGUUCAGGACUGGAGGCUUGAACAGGUUGAACAGUGACUUGGUCGACGUUGAUAAUCUACAAAUUAAUGACAAUGCAAACGAAAAGCAUGCGGUGCAAUAAGGGUCCAAAAUAACUAGAACAAGUAAAUACCUGGCAGUUGGGAGUGGAGUUGCCCGAGGACUUGGUGAUGGCACAGGAGAAACACUACUGCUACUAGGACUAUCUGAGUGCAAUGAAUUUGUUGACUGAUAGUGUACUGAACGCCUGAAAUAAAUUUUUAUUAUUUUAUUAUUA